GACGAACGCUGGCGGCGUGCCUAAUACAUGCAAGUCGAGCGAAGUUUUUCUGGUGCUUGCACCGGAAAAACUUAGCGGCGAACGGGUGAGUAACACGUAAAGAACCUGCCUCAUAGACUGGGACAACUAUUGGAAACGAUAGCUAAUACCGGAUAACAGCAUUAACUGCAUGGUUGAUGUUUAAAAGUUGGUUUUGCUAACACUAUGAGAUGGCUUUGCGGUGCAUUAGCUAGUUGGUGGGGUAAAGGCCUACCAAGGCGACGAUGCAUAGCCGACCUGAGAGGGUGAUCGGCCACACUGGGACUGAGACACGGCCCAGACUCCUACGGGAGGCAGCAGUAGGGAAUCUUCCGCAAUGGGCGAAAGCCUGACGGAGCAACGCCGCGUGAGUGAAGAAGGAUUUCGGUUCGUAAAGCUCUGUUGUUAGGGAUGAAUGAUUGUGUAGUAACUAUACACAGUAGAGACGGUACCUAACCAGAAAGCCACGGCCAACUACGUG
rnacentral:rRNA from 1 species